rnacentral:rRNA from 1 species
UACGUAGGGGGCAAGCGUUGUCCGGAUUUACUGGGCGUAAAGAGCGUGUAGGCGGCCAGGCAGGUCUGUUGUGAAAACUGGAGGCUCAACUUCCAGACGUCGACAGAAACCGCUUGGCUAGAGUCCGGAAGAGGAGAGUGGAAUUCCUGGUGUAGCGGUGAAAUGCGCAGAUAUCAGGAAGAACACCUAUGGCGAAGGCAGCACUCUGGGACGGUACUGACGCUGAGACGCGAAAGCGUGGGGAGCGAACAGG